GCCGCCUCCAUCCCCAUCCCCAUCCUCAUCAUCCUCCCCUCCUGGGAGCCCCUGUCCCGCUGCCAAAGCCCGGCCCGGGCCGUGUGGAAGGAAACCCUCUGAGGAGGCAGCUCUGCUCCAAGUGCCCCGAGAAGCCGGAGAUAUGGAUUUGUUGGCCAGAAGAGAUGAAGAAGGAAAUAUUUUUUCUUUGAUGCUGAACCCAUCCUGUGGUAUAACUACAUUUUUUGUCUCAAGCAAAAGCUGCACCUCAAGAAUAGUUCAGGGAACUUGCCAGAAACGCUGUGGAAAUGGCAGUGGAUAUUACACAGGAUGGCCCUCACCUGCUCAGCUCCUUUAGUAUGGACAACUCCAGGGGAUCCCAGCUGGGUUUCCUGGCUGCAGGUCACACAGGUCUGAAGAUUGAAAGAGAGAGAAAAUAAAAAUUUUUCCAAGGUCUCUUGGAAAGCAAAUGGUGCUGCUGGAGGGAAAACCAAUCAAUUCAGAGGUCUGGGCCAGUUCUCUGUUCAAGUGCUCUGCUCCCUCCUUUGCUUCCAACUGUUCCUGUUUCCCAAGAAAACAAACAUCUCCACUGCAGCUUCCAAGUAGAAUGUGCAUGGGGAUGGGAGAUCAAGCCAGGCCCGUCUGUAACACUGCUGUGCCUGGUGCUUUGACUUCAGCUCAAACAGCCACCUACUCUUCUACCAGUGCUCUGACUGAGCCUGGGCUUUGGCACAACACCCAGCAUCAGAUCUGAACUUGCACUCCUGGAUUUGCAGCAUUUCCUUGAGCAGCUCUGACACUAAGCCUGUUAUCAGAUGAAACAACGGAAACGAAAUUCCUUGGCUUAUUUGGCUGUGGUGGCUCAAUGGCUCUGUACUGAAUUAUUUGCCAUUGGUCCAGACUAAAACAGAACUGUGCAUCAGCUCCUCUGUGCUGAAUGAC